UACGUAGGGUGCAAGCGUUGUCCGGAAUUAUUGGGCGUAAAGAGCUCGUAGGCGGUUCGUCGCGUCGGCUGUGAAAACCCGGAGCUCAACUCCGGGCCUGCAGUCGAUACGGGCGGACUUGAGUGUUGCAGGGGAGACUGGAAUUCCUGGUGUAGCGGUGAAAUGCGCAGAUAUCAGGAGGAACACCGGUGGCGAAGGCGGGUCUCUGGGCAGCUACUGACGCUGAGGCGCGAAAGCUAGGGGAGCAAACGGG
rnacentral:rRNA from 1 species